UACCCGCGGCCCGAGUGGUGCUCAUUAUUAUUGAGCCUAAAGCGUCCGUAGCUGGCCGGGCAAAUCUCCGGGUAAAUCGGGCCGCUCAACGGUCCGAAUUCCGGAGACACUGCUCGGCUUGGGAUCGGGAGAGGGUGAGGGUACUCCCGGGGUAGGGGUAAAAUCCUGUAAUCCUGGGGGGACCACCAGUGGCGAAGGCGUUCACCUAGAACGAAUCCGACAGUGAGGGACGAAGCCCUAGGGCGCAAACGGGAUUAGAUACCCCGGUAGUCUAGGGUGUAAACGCUGCAGACUUGGUGUUGGGGGUCCUGCGUGGGCUCCCAGUGCCGGAGCGAAGGUGUUGAGUCUGCCGCUUGGGGAGUACGGUCGCAAGACUGAAACUUAAAGGAAUUGGCGGGAGAGCACCGCAACGGGAGGAGCGUGCGGUUCAAUUGGAUUCAACGCCGGAAAACUCACCGGAGGCGACGGAGGGAUGAAAGCCAGGCUGAAGACCUUGCCCGAUUCUCCGAGAGGUGGUGCAUGGCCGUCGUCAGUUCGUACCGUAAGGCGUUCUGUUAAGUCAGAUAACGAACGAGACCCUCGCCGUUAGUCGCGAUCUUACAAGCGAUUGUAGGAGCACACUAGCGGGAUCGCUGCCGUUAAGGCAGAGGAAGGAGAGGUCUACGGUAGGUCCGUAUGCCCCGAAUCUUCCGGGCAACACGCGCGCUACAAAGGUGGGGACAAUGGGACCCGACCUCGAAAGGGGGAGGCAAUCCUGAAACCCCAUCGUAGUCUGGAUCGAGGGCUGUAACUCGCCCUCGUGAAAAUGGAUUCCGUAGUAAUCGCGGGUCAACAUCCCGCGGUGAAUGUGCCCCUGCUCUU
rnacentral:rRNA from 1 species